GAACCAAAAAAAAAAAGGGAAAAAAGUGGAAUAACCUAAUACAUCAAAGAGAAAUAUUAUUUUAUUUCAUUACCUCCGGCCCCUUGUCUUUUUUUCUUUCCUUUUCCUUUCUUU
rnacentral:ribozyme from 13 species